ACUUACCCCCAUACCAUCCUGAAUACGCCUGAUCUCGUCUGAUCUCGGAAGCUAAGCAGGGUUGGGCCUGGUUAGUACUUGGAUGGGAGACCAACUGGGAAUACCAGGUGCUGUAAGUG
rnacentral:rRNA from 1 species